UACGUAGGGGGCGAGCGUUGUUCGGAAUUACUGGGCGUAAAGGGCGCGUAGGCGGCCUUCUAAGUCGAACGUGAAAUCCCUGGGCUCAACCCAGGAACUGCGUCCGAUACUGGAAGGCUUGAAUCCGGGAGAGGGAUGCGGAAUUCCAGGUGUAGCGGUGAAAUGCGUAGAUAUCUGGAGGAACACCGGUGGCGAAGGCGGCAUCCUGGACCGGUAUUGACGCUGAGGCGCGAAAGCCAGGGGAGCAAACGGG
rnacentral:rRNA from 1 species